AUUGAACGCUGGCGGCAUGCUUUACACAUGCAAGUCGAACGGCAGCGGGGAGGAGCUUGCUUCUCUGCCGGCGAGUGGCGCACGGGUGAGUAAUACAUCGGAACGUGUCGAGAAGAGGGGGAUAACCACCCGAAAGGGUGGCUAAUACCGCAUAAAUUCUGAGGAAGAAAGCUGGGGACCUGGGAAUAGGCCUAGCGCUUUUUGAGCGGCCGAUGUCGGAUUAGCUAGUUGGUGAGGUAAAGGCUCACCAAGGCGAAGAUCUGUAGCGGGUCUGAGAGGAUGAUCAGCCACACUGGAACUGAGACACGGCCCAGACUCCUACGGGAGGCAGCAGUGGGGAAUUUUGGACAAUGGGGGCAACCCUGAUCCAGCCAUGCCGCGUGUAUGAAGAAGGCCUUAGGGUUGUAAAGUACUUUUGUUAGGGAAGAAAAGUCAGCUGUGAAUAAUGGCUGAUACUGACGGUACCUAAAGAAUAAGCACCGGCUAACUACGUG
rnacentral:rRNA from 1 species